AGUAGCGGAGCGCGCGCACUUAACCACUAAGCCACGGGGCUGGCCCCCAGUACACAUCUUCUUAAACCAUAGUUAAUCUCCAAUUAAAGACAAUAACCAAGUUACACUUCUGUCUAACGUGAUACAACUAUCCUGCGUACACUGAGAACAUGUCAACCCUUUCCCCAGAGAGGAUGCAAAGUCCUUGGGUGAUGUUCCCUUUUCUCCUUGAUAUACUGUAGCUUAAAUACAGUAAUGUAAGGUUAACCAUUUUUAAUACAGUUUAUGUUAGAUGAUGAGAGGAAAGAAAAAUAUUUGCUUAAUAUGUGCGUGUCUAAUAUAUACAUACUUGUAUAUGUACACAAACAUUCAUAACAAAAUAAGGAAGAAAUAUAAUAAUCACAGUCCUCAUUUCUCCAACUGGGUAUGUGGUUGUAGCUGAUAUUUAUAACUACCUUACAUUACCCAUUCCAUAGUCCCUCUGCCCUCAGCAAACAGCUCAGCUGGUCGUGGUUCUUUGCCUGGUGAGGUGACCCAAACCUUCAUUUCUGAAGAAUCUGAGCCAUUAAUUGUCUUGCCUGCACUGAAUUUUGUAGUUUUCCAUUGACUUUAGUCACAGAGCUUAACAGUACUAAGAUCCCCUAGAGGAUCUCCUGUGUUUUGGACAUACUCUUUCUUACCUCCAUUGUGCAGUAGCAGCCCAAUUUCCCCUUAGCAAUCAGGAUCACUCACCCCAACCAGUACUGUAAUUCCCUUCUUUGCCUAUUGAUUCAGAGGCAUGAGGAGCCCAAAGUAGACACGUGGCAGUCCUAAAGUCCAGUGUAAUAGAAUCAUGGUUGUAUCCCCUGGUCGAGGCAAUCCUCCCUUUGGAACAAAGACCUGUAGACCAGCGGAGCAUAAGGAUGUGGGGACAGGAAGCAAAAAUUAUGCCAGGAGGUCACUAGGGGUAUAUAGUGAGUGGUGCCAUGCCCAUUUCCACCCCCUUGAUUCCUGGACCUGUGAAUCCUGGCUAUGGGAGAAAUAGCACCAUAUAUUGCAUGUUGAUUUAGAGCAUAUGUAGCCUCCUGGAAAACAUUGCCCCAGCCCUCCAAGGAAUUGCCACCUAGGUAGUGCUGUAACUGAGUCGUCAAAAGGCCAUUCCACCAUUCUGUCAAGCCAGCUGCUUCAGGACGAUGGGGAACAUGGUAAGACCAAUGAAUUCCACAAGCAAUAUAAGAAAUACAUUUCUUCCAAAAUCCAAAGAGGCCCAUUAGGCAUUGUGCUUCUUUUUUGGUUGUGGAAGGGACUAGAUGCAACAAGUUAUCCUUUACCUUAGAAAAGAUAUCUUGACCUGUCCCACACCACUGGACCCCUCGAAUUUCAGUGAAGUAGAAGGCCCCUGAAUUUUUGCUAGAUUUAUUUCCCACUCAGACAAACAAAUGUCUUACCAAUAAAUCUGGUGGUGUUGCUCCUUCUUGCUCAUUAGGUCCAAUCAGCACAAUAUCAUCAAGGCAAUGGACCAGUGUGAUGUCUUGUGGAAGGAAAAUGUGAACAAGGUCCAUGUGGACUAAAUUAUGACAUAGGGCUGCAGAACUGAUACCCCUCUAUGGUAGUGAAAGGUGUAUUGCUGGCCUUGCCAGGUACAGCAGAUUGCUUCUGGUGGUCUUCACCAAUCGGUAUCAAGAAGAAAACAUUUGCCAGAUAAAUGGCUGCGUACCAGGUACCGGGGGAUGUGUUAAUUCGCUCAAGCAAUGGAAUCACAUCUGGAACAGUAGCUGCAAUUAGAGUCACCACCUGGUUAAGUUUGUGGGCUUCUUCUGUCCACUGUCCUUCUCCAAGAUCCUUUUAUCUUCUUCACAGGUCAAACAGGGCUGAAUGAGGAUGUGGAGGGACUCACCAGCCCUGCAUCCUUCAAGUCCUUGAUAAUGGCACUCUGAAGCCCCUGCAGAAAUGUGGUAUUGCUUUUGGUUUACUAUCUUCCCAGGUAGAGGCAGUUCCAGUAGCUUACAUUUGUCCUUUCCCACCAUAAUAGCCCUCACUCCACAGGUCAGAAAACCAAUGUGAGUGUUUUGCCAGUUGCUGAGUAUGUCUAUACCAAUUAUGCAUUCUGGAAUGGGGGAAAUAACCACAGGUUCAGGAACCCACCAGACUCACUUCUCUAGUUCCAUCCUUGCUUCUGCUGUGGAAAAUCCAGUCCCUCUCAACUCCCUUCCACAUAUUUCUGGGCACCCUCAGAGAACCCUUUACAUGUAAGUACUCCUGAAACCAGUUUUCACAAUCACUACACGGCACCUGACCAUUUCAUUUGCUAUUGUUCUCUCUGGGAUGAGCUCUGCCCCUCAAACCCUGGCUCAACUGCUGCUGCUGACUGAGAACGUGGGUGCCAGAGGCUGCUGAAGGCUAAGGGCACCAUCUUGCCAGCUGUGAGUGUGACACAAUUUACUGUCUCAAUGUCUGCCCUUGAGACCGUAGUGAAACAGUUUCUUUAGAUUUUGCUGAGGGGCUGAAUAACAGACAAGAAUGUGCUCAGAACCACCCUUUCCCUAUAAUGGUGUCCAUAAUCCAUCAAUAAAACAUCAGCACCUCAACCUCUCUACCUUCAGGGGAACUCUUUCUCAAGAAGGCUCUUGGUUUCUUUUAGCUGCCAGUCCACUAGACCAGAGCUGCUCAAUACGUGGUCCACAAACUGGGCUGUUCUGUCAGCAGUAUGUGACAAGGUCAACACAGAAACUCAGAGCAAAAUUGGACCAACCUGCACACUUAAAGGAAGACGGGUAGCCACUCGGGCGCGAGGCCAAGGCUCUGGGGCUGAGACUCCAGCAGUUCCGUCCUUUCUCUUUUACCCCUGUCUCCACCUCGUCCAUGCCCCAGAAGAACGAACAGACUAUUCUACAAGCCUGUAAGUAGACAGCCCAUUGAUUCCCUGGGAUAGUCUGACUCUUUCAGUAGAAAUAUGUUUGAAAUCAUCAACAUGUUAUUUCCAGGUACUAGGCAGCCAGAAGACUCACCAAUUUCCAGCGUAAUAUCUUGAUCCACUCAUCAGCUUCUACUCCUGUCUUUGCACAGAGAUAAAAUGUCCUGAAUGGAAAUACCAAGCUGAUAAGACAAAAGAAAGAAUAUGAAAACAUGGAGCCUAAAGCAGGAGCAGCCUUCUUGGCCUCUGGAGUGGCAGACAUGAGGAGAAGGCCCAGAGCACUGUGCAGACAGUGGACCUGACCUUGUCAAGGCAGCUACCUGCCUCCUGCUUGUCUUCGUAUGAGAAAUAUAAACCCCUGUGGGCUCAUUUGGCUGAGAGUGAUGUUCUGAUAACAAUCAGCAUGUGGUACCCAGAUCUUGAUUUCUAAAGUACCACUCUCCAGAAAAAAAGAACAAAAUUUCUUGGAGAAAUAGCUGAUUCUGGAGCGGGAUGCAAGGAAAGUUCAAGAAGUGUCAAAGUCAUGACAUCAAGGAAAACUUGACCAAGUGUUCCAGAGAGAAGACUCGAGAGGUCGGACAAGUCAGUGCAGCCCAUGACUGCGGAUGGGAUCCUCGUGCUGCUCUAAAGGACCUUGUGAGGAAAACCAGUGACACCUGAAUGAGAUCUGUGGCUGCGAUGGUGGUGCUGUAUCAAUGGUAAUUUCCUAAUCUGAAUGGCUCUAUAUGGUCAUGGGGGCGAAUGUCCUUGUGUGUAGGAAAUACACACUGAAGUAUUUGAGUGAUGGGACAUCGUGUUGGCAAUUUACUCUGAAAUGGCUCAGGAACAAACAAAUUUCUUUGUACUGUUCUUGCAAUUUUUCUGUAACUUUGAAAUUAUUUAAAAUAAAAAAUAGCAUGUAAAAACAUAAUAGAGGAUUAACUAAAUUAUGACACAUCCAAAUUAUGGAAUAUUAAGGAAUUUGUUUUAAUAAUGUUUUAG